UUAGACAGUGAUGCCGGUUGCACAACUUUGUGGACACAUAGGAAGCCCACUGAUCUGUACCAUUUUAAAAGCCUGAAUAUUAUGGAAUGUGAAAUUGAUAGUUCAAUUUAAAAAAAGAUUUCUUGGUAAUGAUGGUUAAAACACAUUAUAUGUUUGCUUCCUCUUUCACUUGGCUUCUGUCACUAAAAUGAAAAAAAGUUUCUUUUUUUCUUUUUUUUUUUAAGUGUAGAUCUGUAAGGACAGAGAGAAAAGGAGAAAAGAGCAGAAUUUUAGAAGCUGGAAAGCAAAUGGAUUAGGAGUAGUCAUUAACAGACCCAAGAAAGGUUAAUUCUAAACCUGCAGCUAGAAAAGCUGAGAAGCCACCAGUUUAUGUGGUAGAACAGGUUCAGGAAUUGAGUACUAGACACACUGGGCAGGAGUACAGUUGGAUAUCCAUGGCCUGUCCCUCCCCAACCACUCCUCCCUCCCUGAAAAAGGGCUGGAAGUUUAUCCCCAGGCACAGUGCAGGGCAUGGGCCCAGCUCUGAAGAUGAGUCCCAGCCUUCUCUCUGACCCAGUUUCCAGAAUUCCAGAAGCCAGACCUUCUUUUUCUGGGCAAUAAAUGAGAGAAUCCUUCUCUGGAGAGCAUGACCAUCCCACAAGGAAUGACCUAAAGAUUCUGAUACUGGGGUUCAACGAUGAAAUAACCCAGCCAAAUAACCCUACAGGGAAGACCUCAGCCAAUAAGCCCUUCACAUCAGUCACAGCUUCCACUUGAUUUUUUUAGACAAUCAAGGCUCUUGGGACAUCUGAAGAAAACCUCUAACACAAAAGAGAGUGAACAAAACAAAUAACCAAAUCUCAAAAAGGAACCAUGGAGGAAACAAAUAGAUAUUAACAGCUUUAGGGAGAUAAGGGAGAUACUGCACCCAUAAAACAAGAAUAGGAUGCUAUAAAGAUAAAUGUACUGUUAGAACCAUGAUGACCACAAAAAUACCUUAAAGAUUAAAAGUACAAGGGUAGAUAUUAAACAAUCAGUAGGUAAAGAUAGUUUUUUAAUCUCCCUGAAAGUAGACCACCAAGAUAAAAAGAAGUUGGGAGAAAAAAGAAUUAAAGACCAAUCCAGAAUGCCCAAUAGCCAAAUAUCAAUGUUCCAGAAAUAGGGAACAGAGAAAACAAAGGUGAAAAAAAAAUCAGUGAAAAAAUUCAGUACAAUUGUCCAGAACUCAAAGACAUAAAUUCCCAAACUGAAAGGACCUAGUGAAUACCAGAGACAAAGUAUGAAGAUAAUUUCACACCAAGGUACAUCAAGUGAAGUUAUAGAAAAAUAAAGACAGAGAAAAUUUCACAGAAAGAAACAAGACAGAUACAAAGGACCAGGAAUCAGAAUGACUUUGGACUUCUUAAGAGCAACCCUGGAAACCAGAAGAUAAUGAAGCAACACCUUCAAAAUUCUAUGAGAAAAUUAUUUCCAUCCUAGAAUAUUUACUGAGCCAAAUUAUUAAGUAGGUAUGAAGGUAUCAUAAAGAUAUUUUCAGACAUUCAUUAUCUCAAAAUUUUUUCUUCCUCAGAAAGCUUCAUUAAUGUAUGCUCUACCAAAAUGAAGGUCUUCACUAAAAAUAAAGGAAGAUUUGAAAUACAGGAAGCUGAAAUUCAAUUCACAAAAGGGAAUGGGGAUUCCCCAGAACGAUGGCAUAGAGAAAUCCCAAGAGAAAAGCAAUAGUGAGAAGCCAACCAGAUCAUGUUUAAAACUGAAACAAUCUAAAGUAACAAUACCAGAAGUUAUUGAGAGACAUAGAGGCUAAAAACAUUCUAAAGUGUUGGGGAAAGGAAGAGGAAUGCAAGCUAACUAAUGUAGAAGAGAAGACAGAAUUAGAAAAUCACCUGUUUGUAAUCUCCAGUGUAAUAGUUAACCACCAAUGGAUGCCAAAAUCAUGAGACAAAGGGCUGGGGGACACAGGAUAUCCGCCUGCCACGGUACCUCUCCAGAGUCCUCGCUGGUUGUUUACGGGAAAAGCCGCCCUACAAUGGGGCAGUCCUGCGGUUGCCACCGGUUACCACAUGACUGGACUUUUAGCAUCACCGAUCGCAGAGCCAUGUGACAUUUUGUGUUUCCUAAAGAGGUAAGAUACUCAGCAUCAGUUGGGAAGUAUCUUUGCUAAAAAAAAUCAUUAAACUGAACCUGCCAUUAGACCUAAAUUCUAAUUUACCAGACACAGAAGAACAAAUGAAAUAAAACUAUGAAUAAACAGAAGAAUUCAGUCAGUCAGCAAAGAACAACAGUACCCAAGGAAGAGUCAAUGUCAUGAAAAAAGAUGCCUGUAUGGGUGUGGAGAGGGUUCUGUAUUUUAAAAGAUUAAAGAAACAUAAUAACCAAAUGCAAUUUGUAUAUUCUGACAAGAUUUUGGUUGGGAAAAAAGCUGUAUGAGAUAUUCUUGUGAAGCUGGGGAAAUCUGAAUAUAGACUGAAUUUUAGCUGAUACUUGGGGAUUAUUAUUGCUUUUCUUAGGUGCAAUAAUGCAAUUUUAGUCUGCUAGAAAAAUAUAUUUUUAGAGGCUGAAGACUCUAAAUGAAGUACUUGGAGGUGACAUGAAAUGUGGUUUGCAAGUUAUUUUCAAAAUAGCUCAGGAAAAAAGAUAAUAGAUAAAAUUAACAAUAGGUGCAUCUAAGUGCAAUGUAUAAACAUCUCUGUAUGUUUGCAAUUUUGAAUAAUAAAUGGUUGGGAAAAAAUUAAAAGCAAUUGUGUACAAAUCCAAUCUCCUCCUAUAUAAAAACUGUGCUAGCUGCUCAGAAGACACUACAUUUCCACCACUGUUCCCUUGACACAUUAUUACAUUGACAGUGGGCUCUUCCACAGCAUAAGCAAAAAAUGUAUGUUGUAGUCCUCCUUGAAAUUUCUCAGAAAUUAUCCAAAGUUUUGUACUGAUUAGAAAAAAAUUCCAAGGACUUCCUUGGUGGUUCAGUCGUUGGGACUCUGUGCUUCCAAUGCAUGGGACCUGGAUUCGAUCCCUGUCAGGAAAUUAAAUCCCACAUGCCACAGCUAAAGAUCCC